rnacentral:lncRNA from 1 species
GAAUUUGGGCAGGAACACGGUCCCGCUGAAGUCAUUUGCACAGAGCAGACAGACUGGAACAAAAGCCAGAGUUCACAGAAACACUUGAGCAUGUGCUGUGGCGUGUAUGACGGGAGGCAGCAGAGGAGAAGGACCGAGACGUGAGCUCAGCGCCUCCUCUGUAAUGGAAUAGAAGGGAGUUUCACGAGGAGUCGUUUGCUGGAGUUUCCUCAGAAGUCGUGUGGCGGGUCCACUCAUGGUUGGCAUCUGGAUCCCCCCUUGCUGAGCAGGCGGACGGAGGUCACCCUGUCCCUGCUCCUCCUGAACCUCCUACUCCAGCCCUGCCUGUCUGCCUUCCCCACCCACCUCCAAGACGCCGCUGAGUCCUUUCCUCUUCUCCCUUGUGAAGCUCUACCAACCCCACCCUCCUGCCUUCCUCCUCCUGAAACCACUCCUCCACCUUUAGCUGACCAUCCUGAAGACCUUUCCUCUUCUAGCUCCCUGCAACGUCCUUCUAAGGUAGAAAUCUUUUAAUUUUUCACUCUUUUUUCUCCUUUUUCUGCUUCCUGUUGUUCCUCACUCACAGUUUUCUGACAGACUUUAAUCUGAAUCCAUUCUGUGCUGAAGCUAAACUAGAAAGUUAGCCGAUCCCUUAUCCUCCAGCCUGACGGCUCAGAGCAAACAGGAGCAUUAACCUGACAUCUGGCACACUCUCUGACCUUGUUGAUUCUCAGAGAUUACCUUUGAAUUCAUUCAGUCAUUCUUACUGAAGAAGUUUGGUUUGUUGGGUGUGAGGUAUGAGGGCUUUGAAGACUUUAAAAAGAUGAAAAGAGGUGACUUCAAUAGACAACAUCAAGUUUCUC